rnacentral:lncRNA from 1 species
AUUAAGAAAUAUGUAAAAGACAUGGUAUCCAACAGCUUCCCAGCUGCUGAACACAGUGUCAUGAUGGUUUCAGAGGAAGUAAGUGCAAUAAUCCAAGGCGAAACCCCGAUCAAGAGACCUGAUCCGGGUAGUUUUGUUCUAGAUUGCAACAUACGAGAUAAGAGUUUUCCUCGAUCCCUUUGUGACCUAGGAUCCAGCGUGAAUCUCAUGCCACACUCUGUCGCGAUAUCCCUGGGAUACGACGAGUUCAAACCCACCAAAAUAACUUUGGUUCUUGCUGAUAGAUCCGUUAGAGUACCUGAGGGAAUACUAGAUGACGUGCCGAUAAGAAUUAACGACUGUCACGUACCAACGGAUUUCAUUGUGUUGAAAUACCAGAAUGAACCAAAAGAUCCACUCAUCUUAGGUAGACCAUUUCUAGCUACCUCUGGUGCAAUCAUCGACGUCAAGGAAGGUCGGAUAUGUUUAAACAUUGGAAACAUUUCAAUGACCUUCGAUAUGGAAAAACUAAUAAAACAAUCCUUAAUCGAUAAACAAGUCUCUUAGGUGGACGAUAUCUCUGAGUUGGCUGAAGAAUCCUUCAUAGACCUAUGCUCAGAUGAUCCCCUGAAAAAAAUGCUCACAUCUACCGAAGAGGAAACAUUUAGCAUCGACAUCAGAGCUGAUGAAUACGCGCGAUUAUUGGACGCAAGUAUAGAAAUAGCAAACGUCGAUGACAUAAAGGAUGACGCUUCGGAAAUCAACGUCGAUCGAUAUUUAACGAAAGCUGUCGAUCGACAACCAUCCUAUCUGAAGGAAUGGGAUCCCGAAAAAGCACCAAAGAUUGAGUUAAAGCAACUACCCGCUGGACUCAAAUAUGUUUUUCUCUAUAAAAAUUCCUACCCCGUAAUCGUAAACGCCAACCUGACAAAUGGAGAACUUGCGUUGUUAUUAAAUAAACUGCACAAAUAUAGAAAAUCCCUCGGAUACUUUCACGAGGAUAUUCCUGGCAUCUCUCCAGAUCUGUGCAUGCAUCAGAUCCACCUAGAGGACGAUUCCAAAUCGUCAGUGGAACAUCAAAGAAGGCUAAACCCGAACUUGAAAGAAGUUGUUAAGAAGGAAAUUAUCAAACUUCUAGAUGUUGGAAUCAUCUACCCGAUUUCGGAUAGCAACUGGGUGAGCCAUGUGCAUGUUGUACCUAAGAAAGGCGGAAUUACAGUGGUUAAGAAUGAUGAAAACGAACUCAUUCCCACGUGAACUGUCACUGAACAUCGAAUGUGUAUCGAUUAUAGGAAGCUAAAUGCUGCCACCAGAAAAGAUCACUUUCCCUUACCCUUCAUUGAUCAAAUGUUGGAAAGAUUGGCAAAUCACCAAUACUACUGUUUUCUUGACGGAUACUCUGGAUUUUUCCAAAUCCCUAUUCAUCCUGACAAUCACUUGCUUCAUAAGGAUUCUAACAAAAAGAAUUCGAACGGGACUUGGUGGCGGCAAUCAUCAAGGUUCAAUUCUUAUGAAUUCUUAGAUAUAGGUCAAAAAGAAGUGAACAGGACUUGGUGGCAACCACCAUUAAGGCUUGAUUCAUGGAAACCUGUCCAAUCUUGGUCAAUAAUCUUGCAAUAUAAGCAGACUUAGACUAAAGAGAUAAAUUAGUAGAGAGAAAAGAUAAGAACUAACUUUUACCUGCAGAUCCGGAUACUUGUUUGAAAUCCUUGCAUCAUGUGAUCGAUACUCCAAAGGUAAAGCAUGCACUUUUAUUUAUGCUAAGAAAUGAGGUUGGUAGAGGGGAAUGUCAGACAGGAUUUGCUAAGUUGUUGGCUAUGUGAAUUUGGUUGCUAAGCUAGGAUAUGGUAUAAUGUGCUUUUUUGAUUAGGACUUUUUAGAUGUGGAUUGCAAUAUUGUAGAGGUGAUGAUUCUAAGUUUUAAAUCAUGAGAAUCCCUGCUAUUUUCAAACUUCUCUCAGAGAGACUGCUCUAGUAUGUUUUGCUUGAGGACAAGCAAAAGAGUAAGUCUGAGGGAGUUGAUAGACCAUGGAUUUUACCAAUUUUUAACCAUGGUUUAUAAGUGUUUUAAUAUAUAUUUACUACUAUAUAUAGUCUAUUUAGAGUAUUUACAGGUUCAGGUACGUUGUGGAGAAAUAUGGUGAUUUUGGAGCAUUUUGAGGUGCAGAACUGCACAGACGCAUCAGAUGUUUAGCUAUGGAUGGAAACCUUCCCAUUGUUAGAUUGAGCCCAUCUUUUGACACAAGAUAGAGCUUUGAGUUAGAUUUCAAACGCCACCGGUUUGAGGUCAAUAAGCAUCCUGUAGCAGAAGUUAUGCCUGUUUUACGGAAGAGUGGUCAGUCUACCUCGCGAGAGGAAACUGUCGAGGAAAUGAAGGACUGUCGAUCGAUAUUGCAUCAUUGGUGUCGGUUGACAGUGAUCCCAGAAAGUAGGACAAGCCUGUUUCGUGACCAAUUGAAUGACCUUCGAUAUGGAAAAACUAAUAAAACAAUCCUUAAUCGAUAAACAAGUCUCUUAGGUGGACGAUAUCUCUGAGUUGGCUGAAGAAUCCUUCAUAGACCUAUGC